ACAGUGCUGUUUUAUUGAGGGGAGAACACGAAAACCAUAACGGAAAAAAGCGUUGCAGUAGUUAAAGAGAUCGGUCUGAUAUAGACUUUCACGAGUAUGGGCUACGUGUGGGCUACGAGUAUACCGUACUUAACGUAAAUUUCAAAAGAAAGCAUUUCAAGAUAUGCGACAGGUUUAGAGUAACAUAGAAAACUACUAUUUUCUUGUUGAUUUUAGCCUACGUGUAACCCUCCUUCCGUAUAGUUCUAUGUUCAAUGUAAGUCCAAUUUGGAAGGGAUCGGCAAGGAUUAAGAUGGCAUUUUGUCAUCUUAAUGUCACGUGAAUUUCUUUUAAUGGUUGUUUAUAGUGUGCGAGUAAUAUGUAGUUUCCAAAGCAACCUGCCAUUAUCAGCGUCGGCACAUUAUGACAAAGUAAUCGUGUCUGUUUUAAAAAGGAAAUAAUGGAAACAUGGGUAGAAUCGUUUGGUUUCCAUUGGGUCCUACCCAUGACCUGGUUAUAGGUAGGCUUAGACAUAAUUAUUGGCUACAUUUGCAAUGCUUCACUUCGGUAACAAAUGGGCUAGGCCCAGUGUUUUCGUACCACUGUCCACUUAGGAAAGAGUUGCAGCUUUCAUCAAAGAAACUGAUGAUCUAAAAGUUGAGACAGACUGGAUGAGCUAGGCUGCUUUGUCUGGACGAAAAUGAACCGACGAUGGACUGACACCGCCCGCUGGCCUGGCCAUUACUGAUUCUUGAGGACAUGAGGACCACCAAGCUUGGACGAGACUGGACAAUGACGAAGCUGCUCUACUGGACAAGGAUGCCCUCAUUGGAAACUUGAGUUAAAAAAAACUAGCCUGUACAAUAUGAAAUGAUAAAUCGACUGCAUAAUGCAACGUCAUUAAUGUUAUACACUAAGGCAACAACAAUAAAAUAAAAUGAAAAGUAAUUUUGAUUUCAUUAAAUUAUUUAUGCCUCUAAAAUAAUCUUAAACCGGAUACUGCAACAGACAGUUAACAAUGGACAAUAAUGGAAACUUGCUGAACAAUUAUUGUAAGGGUAAUAAUUUGUCACUGGCUUUUUAGCAGUGACCUGUCUGAGAGAAGGGAUGUUCCUUUGAUCUGUCCUUGGUCAUCCAAAAUUAUUGCACCAAUAAGUUAAUAUUUCAUACUCCUUACCUUAAUGCAUUCAAUUGGAUCUUCUCGGUAAAUUAUAAACGAGGUUUUGCCUAAGGCUUUCUAUUUGCUUUUUGUUCAGUUGACAAUGGAGAAUUUUGCUCUAUAAAUUUAAUUUGAUAUUGAAAGUGCAUUUUUAAGAAAACCAAUUUAAGUCAUAAGAGUUUUGAAAGAUUUCAAAAAGGAUUAAUUUAUUGUUUAAAAACUGAAGAAAUGUAACAAACUUUAUUUAAAUUUAACGUCUUUAACAAGACGUCGGUUAACUAAAACGUGACUUUCUUUCCAUUGUAUAUUUAUUAGAAAACACCAGAACGUUUAAUUUUUAGGAAAAUUUAAAGAAACUGUUCAGGAACUUCUAUCCAUCAAAAUGUAUUGCAACAGGUGUAAGUGACACUCAAAUUACAUUUGUGUUUGUCCUUUUGUGAUUUAUUUCAUUGCACUUUUUUUACUUGUUAUAUUUUGUACUUCGUAUGCACAAUUGUUUUUCUUGGUGGUUUUGCAUGUCUUUUCAUUUUCUUAUUAAUAAUUAACUAACCUCACAAAAG